CCUACGGGAGGCAGCAGUGGGGAAUUUUCCGCAAUGGGCGCAAGCCUGACGGAGCAAGACCGCGUGAGGGAGGAAGGCUCUUGGGUUGUAAACCUCUUUUAUCAGGGAAGAAGAUCUGACGGUACCUGAUGAAUCAGCAUCGGCUAACUCCGUGCCAGCAGCCGCGGUAAUACGGAGGAUGCAAGCGUUAUCCGGAUUUAUUGGGCGUAAAGCGUCCGCAGGUGGUUAUUCAAGUCUGCUGUUAAAGCGCGAGGCUUAACUUCGUACAGGCAGUGGAAACUGAAUGACUAGAGUAUGGUAGGGGUAGCGGGAAUUCCCAGUGUAGCGGUGAAAUGCGUAGAUAUUGGGAAGAACACCAGCGGCGAAAGCGCGCUACUGGGCCAUUACUGACACUCAUGGACGAAAGCUAGGGGAGCGAAAGGGAUUAGAUACCCCUGUAGUCCUAGCUGUAAACGAUGGGUACUAGGUGUUGACCGUAUCGACCCGGUCAGUGCGUGCUACGCGUACGUACCCGUCCGUCGGGUAGUAUGCACGCAGUGUGAACUACAAGAGUAGUACGCGNGNGAGACGCGACGACGACGACGACGGAGGAGG
rnacentral:rRNA from 1 species